AGAGUUUGAUCCUGGCUCAGAUUGAACGCUGGCGGCAGGCCUAACACACGCAAGUCGAGCGGAUGAAGGGAGCUUGCUCCCUGAUUUAGCGGCGGACGGGUGAGUAAUGCCUAGGAAUCUGCCUGGUAGUGGGGGAUAACGUUCCGAAAGGAACGCUAAUACCGCAUACGUCCUACGGGAGAAAGCAGGGGACCUUCGGGCCUUGCGCUAUCAGAUGAGCCUAGGUCGGAUUAGCUAGUUGGUGAGGUAAUGGCUCACCAAGGCGACGAUCCGUAACUGGUCUGAGAGGAUGAUCAGUCACACUGGAACUGAGACACGGUCCAGACUCCUACGGGAGGCAGCAGUGGGGAAUAUUGGACAAUGGGCGAAAGCCUGAUCCAGCCAUGCCGCGUGUGUGAAGAAGGUCUUCGGAUUGUAAAGCACUUUAAGUUGGGAGGAAGGGCAUUAACCUAAUACGUUAGUGUUUUGACGUUACCGACAGAAUAAGCACCGGCUAACUUCGUGCCAGCAGCCGCGGUAAUACGAAGGGUGCAAGCGUUAAUCGGAAUUACUGGGCGUAAAGCGCGCGUAGGUGGUUCGUUAAGUUGGAUGUGAAAGCCCCGGGCUCAACCUAGGAACUGCAUCCAAAACUGGCGAGCUAGAGUACGGUAGAGGGUGGUGGAAUUUCCUGUGUAGCGGUGAAAUGCGUAGA
rnacentral:rRNA from 1 species